UGCAACAUCCGGUGAAUAUGCCUCUGCAACUGGGGUUGCAAUAGUAUCGGUCUUUGCUGCUAUGGCCUGUAGCCUUGGAUGGGCUGUUGGAUCGCGACCUCUGUUUUGAGCUCUUUUCAUAAGCUUUGUUCUUGGAACUGCAUACUCAACCAAUAGAUCGAUCAAUGGUGGCGAAGAACAAGCAGAACGAUAAGCCAACAUUGACCGAUGAAACAAUGAUGGCAUUAGCAGGCUUCGAUCAAAGAGAUGCACAUAAUGGAAAUGAUAUGUCCUUUCAAACAUGUGAUCAGCUAGCUCCUGGCCUGGAUUCUCCAUUUUAUACAUGUCUGGAACUCCGCCUCAGAUGUAUACAACAAAGAGAAUAUAAUUGGUUUUACAUUAGGAAACAUCAGCUCUAUGAAGAUAGUAAAUUCUGCAUAUAUGAGCCAAGGCCAUGCAGUCCCAAGCAAAAUAUAUCAUCCAACGAAAAACAAGUAUGUACCUAUGUAUUUGUUUUCUAUUAAUACUCACACUUUUACCUGUCAGACAUUCCCAAAAACAAUCUCAUGUAAGCAAUAUUAUUCAUGGUGAAUGAUGUUCUCCCUUUCUUUAUUUGCAAAGAAAAAAAAACAGAAAUACCUGCACUCCCCAAGGUAAUAACAAAUAAAUCAUCAAUUACUCUACCUGUUAUAGCCACUUUAGAAUUAGAUUGAACUCUAUCAUUCAGUCUAUAAUUUGUAUUUUGCCACAAAGCUCUUCUUGCAGGAAACAAUACAAUGUUUUCCUUCUUAAAAGGUUGGAUAUAAGAUGUAAAAUUCGUAGCUUCAUCAUGACAACGGAACAACAAGGGACUCCUGGGAUGAAAUGCUUACAUGGUUCACUUUGACGAAAAUAAAAACAAUUAUUCUAUCUCCAUCACAAACAAGGCCAUUGUAAAACUAUGCCAGUGCCUAGAGCACUGAGUCAAAUUGGAAAAAGGUUAGGAGCGGAACAACCAUUCACCAUCCCAGGGAAUUUACCUUCAACACUGCCUAUGCUGGAGAUAUAAUAAGCAAAAAUGGCAAAAUAAUGAUCCAACAUUUGGUCAUCGAAUGCCUGAUUACGACUCCCUACCUACCCAAUCAACUAUCAAAGAGUCAUCAAGAAGUGUAUGGAAUGAGUGAAGGAAGCUUUAAUGAUCAUAAUGAUCAAUCAGAUUUGCCCCAUACCCAUUGUGCUGUAUUAGUUCUCGCAAAAAAAAGAUGGUCAUGACAAUGGAACGACAAGAGACUCAUUCUAGGAAAUGUCUCCAUGCCCCAAUUUGAGGUUUUUGCAUCUGUUGCCACCGAAGAGAAGGCUUGAUAAUGGCAUCCAUUUGUAUUACAUUUUAGACAUGACAAGCUUUUCCGUUUUAUUUGUUUGCGGAAUUAAUUGUGAUUAGUAACAGAUCUCAAUGAUGUUUUAGACUACAGAAUUUAGGCGUCCAUUUGCUCUCUUUAGCUUUUUGCCGUUUAUUUUAUCCACUUCCCCUAAUCUAUCUUACAUAUUUAAGGAGAUGCUAAUAACGGAUUAUUAAUUACUGCC